CAGCCGUAAACUAUGCUCGCUAGGUGUCAGGGACGGUGCGACCGUUUCUGGUGCCGCAGGGAAGCCGUGAAGCGAACCACCUGGGAAGUACGGUCGCAAGGCUGAAACUUAAAGGAAUUGGCGGGGGAGCACUACAACGGGUGGAGCCUGCGGUUUAAUUGGACUCAACGCCGGAAACUCACCGGGGGCGACAGCAAUAUGUAGGUCAAGCUAAAGACUUUGCCGGAUUAGCUGAGAGGAGGUGCAUGGCGUAGUCGUGU
rnacentral:rRNA from 1 species